GAUGCAAUUUAAAUUCUCAGUUUAGUUUAUAAGUAACAAGUCACUUUGUUUCAUGCAUUAUUAAUUGAGAUUUUGAGAUACUUUACUUCCAUAAAACAUCUUUUAGAUUAGUGAGAAGAAAACAGCCAAAACACACAUUUAGUUGUUUAUUUUACUGCACUUGUAUUUGUGUGUGUAGAUUUCUUUAAAUUCGGAAACUUUGUAUUUGUGUUAGUCAGUAUUCAACUGGGGGAAGUUGUAAUAUAGUUACAAUUUACAAGCCUCAUACUCAAGGAAAUCAAUUAAUUUACAACAUUUACUUUUCCAAAUGUAUUAUAUUUUAUUUAAAUUAACUCAGUUGUAUCCUUAAGGCUUAAACUUGUCCUUCUCUCUGUGUGUAGCUUUAAAAAUCUUACCAGUAACUUUAAAUGAGUUUACUUGAGGAUAAACACGCCCUCGCUAAACCUUCUUUUCCCUCGGGGUGUGGGCCGCUUCAUAAGCCUAUUAAUAUCAGCGGCUUUGCUGUGCAGUGCCUCCAUGCAGCGGGCCAAUAUGAGAGUGAAAUUAUCAUGCACACUUACUCCUGAAGCGCAGGGAUGUUGUUCAUGGCGUACAAAACUCCAGGAGCCAAGAGGGAAAUGAUCACCACACAGACUUCCACCGGCGGCCUCAUGGCUGAAAACUCACUGUUUGACCUGUUUUAGAAAGAAUUGUCCAGAUAGAAAUAUUCCCAGCUAAACACGCCUGGCUGUGAAGGGAGACGUGCUAGUGUCCUCUCCACUGCCGCCGUGGAAGAGAGAGCUGUCUGUAUAUGACACGCGCCAAUUUGGAAGUCCUUUCAUUUACAAGUCAAAGAAGGAGAUCUGAGGAGCUGUUUCAAGUCUUGAUUACAAGACUGGAUUCUUGGCCCCAAACCAGUGGAGGAUGAUUCAGAGGCAGGGAGAGCAGAAAUAGAAGAAGGGCGCCGACUAAGCAUUUGCAGUAAGCUGAUAGAGAAAGACAGGCUCAUGAUGGAGAAGGAAAAGGACAUGCCGCUGCCCGGCUUCUACCUAGGAGCCGAAAGCUUCCACUAUCCACCCUCCCCUCCUCCACUGAGAAGCUCUCUGGCUUUAUCGUACCUCGGAGAAAAAAGGAUAUCUGCUCAUAGUGUGACCUUUGCCUGCCCCGUGACCCCUUAUGCCACUUCCCUUUGAGUUUUCACAGCAGUUUGUUCAGAUCUAUUCUUAUUGCAGAUCUUAUUUCAGUGCAGUGAUCAAUGUUGUGACUUUGCUGUAGUGAUGCAUAAGCUAACGCAUUUUUGUUUUAUAUAAAACACUCAUCGCUCUGUAUUUAUAGUUUGUAAAAAUUUUGCUAAAAAACUAAUUAUCGUGUGUUGCCCAUCAAUUUCUCAUGCUUCAAUGUAAAGUAUGUACCUUGUAAACUUCAAAGAUGUUAAUGUGAGCUGUGAAAAUACAUUUUAUUUCAAUAGCCAACAACCAAAGAUUGUAUAUAUAGAUAUAUAUGUCAAUUUAUAUAUGUAUAACUUCAAUUAAAAUUAUGAUUUCAAACCGUCUUAAAAUGCAUGUUAUAAUCACGUCAAAUGUUGCUGUAAUAUGUGUUGCAGAAGAAGAAACAUGUAACUUGUAACUGUUCUGGUGCUGGACUAAGCUUCUCUCCAGUAAACAACUUAAUAAUACAA